GUGCAUAUAAUUCUCAGUUCAAUUUUUUGGGGACAGAACAGAAAAACAUAAAACCAAAGCCUCUUGCCGGGUGGUUUAAACAUGUCAAAAGUGUCUCCUCUGGUUGCACAGAUGUGUCAGAUUCGGUUUCACGAUGUGAUUUCAACAGACGGGAAAAAACAGGUUUAGUCACAUGCAGGUUUGUAUUUCUUAACAUCAACGUGCUGCAGGCGACUUGAUGAUGAAAGAAGCGAGACAGAUCGCUUCUUCAUUUCCUGCUUUUUUGCAUAACCAAUAAUACCUCCGUGCACAGUAUGACCUGUCGGCAUAUGGUGCCACCUCUGAUUGAGGCGGAUGGCAGUUUUACAUCCACUUUCAUCUCUGUUUAGUUUUCUCUGGAUUUUUUAAACUGCGUUCCGGAGGGCAGGGAUAAAUGGAGCAGUUUCUUAUUUUUGUGAUGUUAGCAGGAUUCACUCAUGCUUUUAUUUCUGUUGCUGACACUCAUUGUGAUGCCACCCAUAUGAAAUCCCAGUGCUCUGUUACUGCUGGAGGAUGUGUGUACAUCCAAAUGAUGUCCAACGCCACUGGCUAUCGGCUGUGGUGUAAGAAGAAGGGUCCCAGUGGAGACAUACUUGUGUUCAACAUAAAGAAAGGAAAGGUCACGAUACAGGAGCCAUUAAAGAACAGAACAGAGUUCUUCAUCAAUAAUGGGACGCUGAAGAUCAGCAGCGUGGAGAAGAAUGAUUCAGGGCGAUACAACAUAGAAGUUUAUGACACACAGCUGACUUAUGUGAAUUCCACCAGUUUUACUCUUGAUGUUAACGAAAACACUUUACCCCCGCUGAUCCUUGCUGCUGCUGUACUGGGUGCUGUCCUGGUCCUGGUGGUGUGCUCCGUUCUGUGCACAAAAUGGAGACAUUGUAAAAGAUCAGGAUAGGGCAAGUUUGGACUUGACAACUGAAAGUAUCACCACAAAAGUUGGACUUGUUUGUCUGGAUUUGUACAUUUUCAAACAACAUAUUGCAUAUUGGACUCUGAGAUCUUUGCUUUUUUUAAAAUUAAAUAUCUGAUUUUUUUUUGCUGUAUUAUAAAGAGGUUAACAUAACAACAGAAAGUUACACAUCUUUUAGUGUAACUUUCUGUUGCCUUUACAGCUGUGUAUUAGGCAUGCACUCUGCUAUUGUGAC
rnacentral:lncRNA from 1 species